AGUUGUGGGGACCUUCCACGGUCUCUGCGACGCAGCUAACGCAUUAAGUGCCCCGCCUGGGGAGUACGAUCGCAAGAUUAAAACUCAAAGGAAUUGACGGGGCCCCGCACAAGCAGCGGAGCAUGCGGCUUAAUUCGACGCAACGCGAAGAACCUUACCAAGGCUUGACAUAUACAGGAAUAUGGCAGAGAUGUCAUAGCCGCAAGGUCUGUAUACAGGUGGUGCAUGGUUGUCGUCAGCUCGUGUCGUGAGAUGUUGGGUUAAGUCCCGCAACGAGCGCAACCCUCGUUCUGUGUUGCCAGCAUUUAGUUGGGGACUCACAGGAGACUGCCGGGGUUAACUCGGAGGAAGGUGGGGAUGACGUCAAAUCAUCAUGCCCCUUAUGUCUUGGGCUGCACGCAUGCUACAAUGGCUGGUACAAACGGCUGCAAUACCGCAAGGUGGAGCGAAUCCGAGAAAGCCAGUCUCAGUUCGGAUUAGGGUCUGCAACUCGACCCCAUGAAGUCGGAGUUGCUAGUAAUCGUAGAUCAGCAACGCUACGGUGAAUACGUUCCCGGGGCUUGUACACACCGCCCGUCACGUCACGAAAGUCGGUAACACC
rnacentral:rRNA from 1 species